GUCUUGGGUUAAAAUUGGUGAUUCUGUUUUUAAAUUCAUUAACUUAUGCCUAUCAUUGUUCUUAUAUAUCCCUCCCUAUUGAUGUUUAUUUGACUCAUGAAUUAGAAUAAGAUAAUAUAAUUACUUUACUCAAUUAGACUUAUUUCUUUAUUGAGAUACCAACAUGUAGGUGCGCUCCCAUAUUUUUCAAGUGUUCUUAAGGUAAACUUGGUGCUUUUUAAAUCCAAAAAACAGAGAAUUUGUUUUUUUUAUCCUUUUAACAAUUUAAAGUUUUUGUUUUAGCCCUACUCAGUGUGUUCAAUGCUGCAAUUGCAGUCACUGUUCAAAAACUUGCAACCGGAGAUCAACUGUGUUCGGUGCCAAAAGUUGGAUUGCUCCCCUGUAUCGUAGGUCUGAAAAGACUUGGGUUCCUGCUAUGCUGAUUAAGGAAAAACUAAAGUAGAUCAUUAUGAUCAUUUUAAAAGGUAUCACCUUUAGCAUUUAUAAGUUUUUUUCCAUGUAACUUUUUAAGCAAAUUUGUAUUUAUUAUUGUAGAUUUAAAAUAAGGAAUUAUUUGUAAAUGUAUAUUUCAUUAAUUCCAUCAAGAUGUAGAGGACUUGGUGGUGUUUAUUUUUAUUGUGUUGCUUGUGUUGUUAUACAAGAGCGCAAGUCACUGAAAAAUCAACAUUUUACACCUCAACUUUCUAAUGUCAUUCAUCUUACCAUAAUUAGUUUUUACUUUGUUGGAUUUUGCAUUGCAUGAUCUUCUUCUUUUUCAGGUAUGUUUGAGUCUUUUAUUUUGCAAUGUUGAAUUUCAAAUCUGUGUUAGUUUUUUUUUUUCUGAAGCAAAUCUUUAAUGAUGCUUUUGUUUUCAUAUUAUUAUACUCAUCUUCAUUACCAAGAACUCUAUUUAAUUUAUGCGGCUGUAGAAAGGAACUAUAUGAACUACAUAAUUUCUUUUGGAGAAAUUCAAUUAUGAACUAUAGAAUUCUGAAUAAAAGAAAAAUAGAUGAGUCUUUUAUUUUGUAAUGUUAUUGAGUUUCAAAUCUGUAGUAGUUUUCUAUUUCUGAAGCAAAUCUUUAAUGAUGCUUUUGUUUUCAUAUUAUUAUACUCCUCUUCAUUACCAAGUAUUCUAUUUAAUUUAUGGUGCUUUUUUUAUGCCCAUCUUCAGCUGCUCAAACACGAUUUAUAGUGAUUAUAAAUUGUUGGACAUUUGGGAUUGAAUGCAUAUCUCUAGAAGAUACAACUUUAUGGCACAAUUUGGCAAAGUGGUCAAGAAAGAUGGAAAUAUCUCCUGGAUGUUAAGAGAGUGGCUCUUAAUUAAGUGCAGGCCAUAUAUUGGUUUCACCUGCCUCAAUGAAUAUUUGGAGUCAAACUUUAGAGAAUAUACAAGGAAGUUGCACCAACAACACUUGCUUUGCUCGAACAACUUUGUAGUGAAGUCACCCCUGAAUUGUCCUGAAUGCAGUAAAAAAUACAAGUUACUUGUGAUGUUUCUCAACUCAGAAAAUUCGCAAUGUUGUAUACAACUUCUAUAUACAAUGAUGUGGUGCGUAAUGAACUUGAUAAUCAUGAAAAAUAAUAUAAUUGAAAACUAUCUUUAAUUUU